GUUGUUUCGUCGGGGGAAAAGCCACGAAAGGAAGCACUUCCGUCGCAUGGAGAUGUCUUUCUUCGACUGGAAAAAACAUAAAGAAAAAGGAAAAAACUAAAGGCAAAAAGCACCUAAAAGAAACAUUUUUGUUGCUGUUGAGAGAUGGCUAGUUAUAAUUAUGUGGUGAAGUUGUUGUUUUUGAUACUCUACUGGUUAAAUAAAUUUAAAGGUAAGAGAAACAUUUUUUUAAAGGAAAAAGAAAGUGCAAAAGCAUUGAUUAAAUGACAAAAAUGAUAUUCCAAUUGUGUUGGCACCUCAUAACUGUCUCCUAUGGUUUAGGACACUCUAAAAUUAUUAUUAAUAAACUAGGGUUAAGACAGGUACUAACAUGUUCAUGUUUUUGUUUUCUAUUGCACUUAAAUUUUAUAAUAUCAUAAUUAAAUAAAGAUUAGUUUAUAUUGUUUCUAGUAUGGUGAAAUUGUUCCUAUUAUAACCAGAUUUAAUUUAUUCUUUUAAUUAAAUAUUUAAUUAAUAAUAUACAAAAUAUAAUAUUGGAAAUAGAAAAAUUUAAAUAAAGGAUAUAAUUGCAAGAUAAAUAUUCAUCUCAAAAUCAUGUAUCCCUUGUGUGUAGAUGAUUAUAAGUUUUUAUUAUAAUGAGAUUUAUUUGAUUUUUUAAUUAAAUAUUUAAGUAACAGUAUAAAGAACAUAAAAUUGUUAUUAUAAUAGUUUAACUGAAAGAUAAAAUUUUAAAAUAAAUAUCCAACGCAUAAUACAUAUCUUUAUAGGUAUAGGUAAACUAUAAAUGAAUAAUUACAAAAUUCAGCAGACCAGACCAACACUCAAGAAAAAAGAACCAAAGAUUUUCAACAUCUGCCUCAUUAAAAACCUUCUUAAAAUAGCCCAAUAACAUAAAAUGCAAGUUUCGUAAAAAAAUAAAUAAAAGUGUAGAGCAACUAAACAACACAAAGACAAGAUAAACAACAUAAAUCAAAGUCCAAGGAAAAUUAUUAAUAUACCGAUUUUAUGACAUACAAAUAGUUUAUAAUUUUAUAAGUAAAUUAAAAUAUAGCAAUACAUUAUUUAUCUCGUGAGAGAAAUUUAAUGCUUAAAGAAGCAUAAACCAAAAUGCGAGGGAAAUUAUUAAAGUAAAGUGGUUAUAGUUACACACAUUGACAUUUAUUGUUCCUGCACUUUGUAGUUUUAGCGCCACACAUUUUUCUUGGACAAUGGCCGGUAUGUUUGCAACCGUUUUUCACUGUCAAUUCAAAUAACAAUAAAGGAAUGUUGUUAAAGGAAUAUUGUGUCUAACAUACAGAAAAUGAGAAAAGAAUUUCAAGAGUUACUUACUUCCACUGGUUCCCAUGAGAAAUAGAGAAAGAAACAUUAUCAAAGCAUAAACAUAGUUGAAAAUUUUAGCCAUAUUUUUCUUAAUGUAUAUCCUUUUUUGUUUACACUUUGAAUGUAUAUCUAAAAUGUAAAGUUUUGUUUAACCAUUUUAUAAGUAAAAUUUAAUUCUUUGGUAACAUCAAUUAAAUAAUCUUCCUUCAAUUAAAAUCAAUUAAAUAGUUUGUUUAUCUUUUAUGAAUUGUAAGAAAGCAUUUACUAAAUUGAAGUUAUUGAUAAAUGUCUCUAAUGUAGAUCAGUGUGACAUUUGUCCUUUAGCCCACUAAAUUGAUCAGUUAAACAUAAUAAAGAUCUUAAAUCAACCUUUUGAUGCUCGUCAAAGAUUCUUUGUUUUUUUAAGGGACAAAAUCCCAAAAUUAAAGAGAAAUAAUAGUGAUGAAGGUAACUGUUUUUUAGCUUUGAUAAUUAUGCAUUUAAGAGGUGAGAAAACAUUUAUUUCUAGAUUAAAAUUACAAUAUGAUGAUUUCUUCGGUUUAGAAAAUGAUCAGAUCGUAAAUUAAUACAUAUCAAAUGUAAAAAUUACAUGAUUUGUUUUAUUGUUGAUGUCGACCCUCAGAUUCCUCAGAGAAAAAGGCUAAAGUCAUUGAGACUUUGGUCGGGAGUUAAAUAAAUUAUGUCUAAGAAUUGUUUCAAUCGGGAAUCGAACCUGAAUUGUCACGAACAAUUCAUCAUAGGGACGCUAUUUAACCAUUAGAGUCAAAUCACUUGGUUGACAAUUGCAUGAGUUAAUCAAAGUGUUAAAUAAGUUUUUGGUCUGUAAAAAUACAUUGUUUUAUGUUUUUAACUCCUUUAAACAAUGAUCCCUGCAAUGUUUUCUGCAAGCAAAUUUAGGUCUCGCUUUCCUUAAUGUCCCAAUUUUUGUAAUAAGAUUAGAAACUUUUUCAUUUCAAUUGAGAGAUGACAUUUAUAUCUUAUCUUGAAAAAUUCGAAUGAAAUAAAUUAAAAUUACUUGCAUUUGAAGAAACGCUUACAAAAUAUUUUGAUUAUGCUAAUGUGUACAAAUUACGAACAAUAAUUUUUUAGAGAUUUUAAUUUUAAUUAAAAUUACAAGUGUAGAUCCCAUAAAAUUUAUACGUAUAUAUAUUUUCACUUUCAUAUUGUAACAAACUAUACAUAUCUUUUUCAAUAUAUUUUGCACUUUCAUAUUUAACAAACGAUACAUAUCUUUUUCAAUGAUACCAACAAUAUAACAAAUAUAAUAUAAAUUCUUAUCUUUUUUAAUGACACCAACAAUAAAACAUUCUUAUAACCAAAUAUUUUAAACAUUUUUUUAUUUAUUAUGUUAAUUCAUAAUAAAUUCAAAGCUUCAUACAAUAUUUUGCCAAACAACUUUUAACUUAAAAAUAGCUUUAAAACUAAAAAAAAUUUAAAGUAACUAAACAACUUUAACUUCUUUCUUAAAACCCUUAAUUUUAACUUUAUUUUAAAGUAGCUUUUAAACUGUAAAAAAGUCAGACCAAACGAUUCUAAAGUAAAACAAUAUAGCGAGACAUAAAUUGAAACAUGAUAUAUAUACUUUUCAGUACAUAAAUGAGAGCCAAAAAUAUAAUUUAACCAAAAAAAAAAAUUUAACCAAAAUUUUGAUCACUAUAAAUCUACCAUCUUUCGUUUUUGAUUCCGUUAUAUACGCAACCUUUAAAAAUGAGGAUGAGUGCUUCCUUAAAAAAAAAAAAAAAAAAACAGAGAGAGAAUGGGUGCUCAAAAUAACCGCUGAACUCAAACUAAUCAAAAUUAUUUGAACCUAUAUUUCAAGUAUAGUAAUAGAAUGAACAAAAUAAUAAAUAAAAAGAAUUCCUUCAAAAAAAAUAAAAAGAAUAUUUCAGUGGAGUAAAAUAUAAAUUGAUAAAAAAAAUAAUAAAAAAAAAAGACUAUUUUUCGGAAGAAAAAUCAUAGGAAAGAGGUUUAUCUAAAAGAUCUUUUUCCUAUUUUUAUUAUUACCAUUCGUUGAGAAUGGUUUUUCUUUUAUUUAUACUUACUUGGUACAUAUUUUGGGGUGGGUUUGAUAAUCCCUUUGAUUAUUAUUAAAACUUUUCAAAAUUUCUUUUGAUUUUUUAUUUAAGAUUAUUUUAUUAAGUAGAUUAUCGUGAGCCGCACAUACUUUAUCGCAGGCUAAACUAAAAAAAGAAAUAAUAUUUUGAUAACCAAUCAAUGAUACUCUUCUAUAGAUUCACCUAUAUAAGCCGCAACUAAGGUAGCAAAAAUAAGAGCUUGAAUACCGCUUGUAAAUAAUCCCAUAAACAUAACCGGUAUAGGAACUAUUAAAAGUACUAACAAAACAAGAAGAAUAACUACUAAUUCAUCAACUAAUAUAUUUUUGAAAAGUCGAAAACUAAGUGAUAAGGAUUUUGUGAAAUCUUCUAAGAUGUUAAUCGUUAAAAGGAUUGGAGUUAGUUGGAUGUAUUUACCAAAAUAAGUCAAUCCUUUUAUUGAAAUACCAUGAUAGAAAUAGGCUAGUGACAUAAGUAAAGCUGAUGCCAAGAGUAGUAUUUAUAUCAUUUGUGGGUUCAGAUAAUUCUCCAUGAGAUAACUUUAUAAUUUUCCAAGACAAAAGAGCCCCUGACAAAUUCCAAAAAAAAAAAAAAAAAAAGGGUUCCAAUAAAUGGAACCCACUGACCAUAUUCUUCUCCAAUCUGAUUUUUAAAUAUGCACAAUUAUAAGUCUAAUUGAUAGUUAUUAUUCAACAUAAAAUUAUCUAUUAGAUGCAAAGUAUUUCAAAAUUGAUCAAAGCUUCUCAACAUGAUUUAAUGUGUUGGCAUUCUUCAAACAACGACUCUAUUAUCUCCUAUAUAAGUCCCGAGAAAUUUGAAGAACUUAAGAGACUUUACAUAAUUUUAUUAGGGCCAAAACUCUAUCAAAUUAUAUAGCACGCAAACACUUAAAAAAGUUCUUACAAACUUUCACAUCUUAGAUAUUCUUAAAUGUCAGAAUUCAUUUGAGCUUAGAGUUAGUUUACCACUCUCUGAGUACAAAGUGUAAACAAUCAAAAUUUAUUUGUAAACUCUAAUUUUGGAAGUCCUCUUGUGUGAGGCAAGGAAAUCUUAGACAUGUGUGUGUCGAAGUAAUUGUCAUAUUGUGUGAUUAUGGUGAAAAAUCCCUUGGAAUGCAAGGGGACCUGACAAACCUCAUAUUGUGCGGUGAACCGUGAUAAUUUCUUGUGUUAUCUCUCUCUCUCUGAUUAUCUUUCUUGCUCUGUUCUGUGUAAACUUAGAAAACAAUUUUCAGAAAAGCUAACACAAUUCAAUCAUCUCUUCUUGUAUUUUUCUCACCUUCAGUUGGUACCAGAGCGUCUGGUAUGUUGAUUUAACACUUAAUCAUGUAACAUAUAUUGCAACCAUGUUCUCAAUGUUUCAAACUCUUGUCUUUGAUAUGCAAGUUUUGAAUAAGAGUUGUACUACGAUAAAAUGACUGUCAUUCAAGAAGCAAUAGACUUGAACAAACUUGGUUGGAGACUCUGAUAAGCUCUCUGAAGAGUCGUGAGAUGCAGCUAUUAGGGGAUGAUUCAUCCAAACAAUAUAGUUAUAUUGCUCUCAAGUCAAAGGACAAAUAUAUCACAACAUUUCAAGUUGUAGAGUCUGAAUAAGACAAUCUAGGAGAAGAUUCCGUAGAUGGUUCUAAUGAAGAUGAAAUGACAUUCUUUAUCAAGAGACUCUAACAUCUGAACAAGAAAAACAAGUUUUCUGAUAGAAACAAUGAUGCCAGAGGAUUUAAUUCCAAAUAUAAAAAAUAUGAAUCGAAAGUCUGCUUCAACUGCAAGAAGUCUGAACACACUUAACAUAAAGGUGGUUUGUUUUUUAAGGGAAAAUUAUGUGGUGAUGUUGUUGUAUUUCGAUAUUGUACUUGUUGAUGAAAUUUAAAGUAUAUGUUUAUACAGCUUAAUCAUUUUUUUAGAAUAUUAAUAUCACACAGUUAGCCUUAAAUGCAAUUUUCAUGUGAGAAUAACAAUGUUAGCUAAAAUCCAUUUAUCGAUAACGUAGAUUUAGUUUUUUAAAAAAAAUAACGUAGAUUUAGCUAUAUCCACGUAGAUUUAGAAAUACAUACUAUUAUUAGUGCAACAGAAAAAAAUACAAUUAUUAGGAUAUAUUGGAAUUAUUAAUUAAAGUGGCUAAUUAUAUCGAUUUUUAAACUUAGAAUUAAGGUAAAAUACACUUAUGAUAUUUAAACAUAGAAUUAAGGCUAAAAUACACUUCUUCUCCCCCGCCCCCAAUUUUUCAAAACAAUCGAUUUUUGCCCUUUGUUUACACUUGUUUUUGAUAAACAACGAGUUUGGCUUUGAUUAUUACAAGCAGGACCAAAUCAGAGAUUCUAGGACAUAGUGUGUUGUUUCGUUGAGGGAAAAGGCACGAAAGGAAGCACUACCGUCGCGUGGAGACGUCUUUUCGACUGGAAAAAAACAUAAAGAAAAAGGAAAAAACUAAAGGCAAAAAGCACCUAAAAGAAACAUUUUUGUUGAUGUUGAGAGAUGGCUAGUUAUAAUUGUGUGGUGAAGUUGUUGUUUUUAAUACUAUACUAGUUAAAUAAAUUUAAAGGUAAGAGAAACAUUUUUUUAAAGGAAAAAGAAAGUGCAAAAGCAUUGAUUAAAUGACAAAAAUGAUAUUCCAAUUGUGUUGGCACCUCAUAACUGUCUCCUAUGGUUUACAACACUCUAAAAUUAUUAUUAAUAAACUAGGGUUAAGACAGGUACGUACUAACAUGUUCAUGUUUUUGUUUUCUAUUGCACUUAAAUUUUAUAAAUAUCAUAAUUAUAUAAAGAUUAGUUUAUAUUGUUUCUAGUAUGGUGAAAUUUUUCCUAUUAUAACCGGAUUUAAUUGAUUCUUUUAAUUAAAUAUUUAAAUAAUAAUAUACAAAAUAUAAUAUUGGAAAUAGAAAAAUUUAAAUAAAGGAUAUAAUUGCAAGAUAAAUAUUCAUCUCAAAAUCAUGUAUCCCUUGUGUGUAGAUGAUUAUAUGUUUUUAUUAUAAUGAGAUUUAUUUGAUUUUUUAAUUAAAUAUUUAAGUAAUAGUAUAAAGAAUAUAAAAUUGUUAUUAGAAUAGUUUAAAUGAAAGAUAAAAUUUUAAAAUAAAUAUCCAACGCAUGAUAAUACAUAUCUUUAUAGGUAUAGGUUCUAUAAAUGAAUAAUUACAAAAUUCAGGAGAUUAGACCAACACUCAAGAAAAAAGAACCAAAGACUUUCAACAUCUGCCUCAUUAAAAACCUUCUUAAAAUAGCCCUAUGACAUAAAAUGUCUUUGGUAAAAAAAUAAAAGUGUAGAGCAACUAACCAACACAAAGACAAGAUAAACAACAUAAAUCAAAGUCCAAGGAAAAUUAUUAAUAUACCGAUUUUAUGACAUACAAAUAGUUUAUAAUUUUAUAAGUAAAUUAAAAUAUAGCAAUACAUUAUUUAUCUCGUGAGAGAAAUUUAAUGCUUAAAGAAGCAUAAACCAAAGUGCGAGGGAAAUUAUUUUAUAGUUGCACACAUUGACAUUUAUUGUUCCUGCACUUUGUAGUUUUAGCGCCACACAUUUUUCUUGGACAAUGGCCGGUAUGUUUGCAACCGUAUUUCACUGUCAAUUCAAAUAACAAUAAAGGAAUGUUGUUAAAGGAAUAUUGUGUCUAACAUACAGAAAAUGAGAAAAGAAUUUCAAGAGUUACUUACUUCCACUGGUUCCCAUGAGAAAUAGAGAAAGAAACAUUAUCAAAGCAUAAACAUAGUUGAAAAUUUUAGCCAUAUUUUUCUUAAUGUAUAUCCUUUUUUGUGUACACUUUGAAUGUAUAUCUAAAAUGUAAAGUUUUGUUUAACCAUUUUAUAAGUAAAAUUUAAUUCUUUGGUAACAUCAAUUAAAUAAUCUUCCUUCAAUUAAAAUCAAUUAAAUAGUUUGUUUAUCUUUUAUGAAUUGUAAGAAAGCAUUUACUAAAUUGAAGUUAUUGAUAAAUGUCUCUAAUGUAGAUCAGUGUGACAUUUGUCCUUUAGCCCACUAAAUUGAUCAGUUAAACAUAAUAAAGAUCUUAAAUCAACCUUUUGAUGCUCGUCAAAGAUUCUUUGUUUUUUUAAGGGACAAAAUCCCAAAAUUAAAGAGAAAUAAUAGUGAUGAAGGUAAUUGUUUUUUAGCUUUGUAAUUAUCCAUUGAAGAGGUGAGAAAACAUUAAUUUAUAGAUUAAAAUUACGAUAUGAUGAUUUCUUCGGUUUAGAAAAUGAUAAGAUCGUAAAUUAAUACAUAUCUAAUGUGAAAAUUACAUGAUUUGUUUUGUUGUUGAUGUCGAUCCUCAGAUUCCUCGAAAAAGGCUAAACUCAUUGAGACUUUGGUCGGGAGUUAAAUAAAGUAUGUCUAAAAAUUGUUUCCAUCAGGAAUCGAACCUGGAUUGUCCCGAACAAUUCAUCAUAGGGACGCUAUUUAACCAUUAGAGUCAAAUCACUUGCUUGACAAUUGCAUGAGUUGAUCAAAGUGUUAAAUAAGUUUUUGGUCUGCAUAAAUACAUUGUUUUAUGUUUUUAACCGCUUUAAACAAUGAUCCGUGCAAUGUUUUCUGCAAGCAAAUUUAGGUCUGGCUUGCCUUAAUGUCCCAAUUUGUGUAAUAAGAUGAGAAAUUUUUUCAUUUCAAUUGACAGAUGACAUUUAUAUCUUAUCUUGAAAAAUUCGAAUGAAAUAAAUUAAAAUUACUUGCAUUUGAAGAAACGUUU
rnacentral:lncRNA from 1 species